AGGCGUCUGUGCUUUUGAAAGUAAUGCCAAAUGUGGAAAUACUUGUAAUAUUUUGAUUCGUAUUGAAUUCUACUGUAUUAGUAUUCGAUUCUUGUUGCAGUCAUGCAAACCAACUGAUGAGGAUCUGUUUUACUGCUGGAAAAAAAAAUGCUACGUGGUGUGAGAAACUCAGGAACUGAUCAGACCAAACCGAAGUGGAGAUUUUUAUAAGCAGAUUUCAGCUCAGUUUGUCCAUACAAUAUACACAUCUGGGAUGGAUUAAAGAUGCAUUCUGCCUUGAUGUGGGUUCAGUGGAUCAUCAUCAUCAGUAGCAGCAAUAUCUUCAUCAUCAUCAGCACCAGCAUGACCCCCUAUUCCUCCUCAGGAAGUUGAACAAAGUUCCGUGACUGCAAUGUUGUGACUGGAUUUUUUGAGGAGUUUUGGGGAAAGUCAGUAUGGUGUUCAUAAUCUGUAAUAGCAAAGGUGUUACUGCUGACUUGCUGAGCUACAGGCCAUCACCAACCACCUCCAUAAAACUUCCCACAGCACAAUAAUUCAAGGAUCUUGGUCCUUGGAAUCCAGAAUUUUCUUAGGAUGUUGUCAUCAGAUAGAGGGUCAAAUGGGGAGAAAUUUGUCCUUAUGUAUAUACACUACCUGACUUCUGAAUCGCCUUCUGUGCUCAAGCUGUAGGAUUCUUUGUAAAG